rnacentral:tRNA from 1 species
GCCUUGAUGGUGAAAUGGUAGACACGCGAGACUCAAAAUCUCGUGCUGAAGAGCGUGGAGGUUCGAGACCUCUUCAAGGCA